GCCCAAGCCUGCUCAGUGCGCGCGCGCAGCUUGAAUAAAACCGAGUGACAAGAUGGCAUCUGACAGCUGGGUUUGCGCAUGUGCAGCUCAGACUCUCCCCGAGAAGAUGGCACCCCCGCUCGGAAGCCUGCGCUCCACAGAUGGGGAACUUGGCCAUGAACAUCACCUGCUGGCUUGGGAGGACUUGUUCCUGCUCCACACAAUGGUGGAAAUGUUCAAUCCUGAAAGCCACCAGUAUCAAGCAUCUCUAGAGAUGGAGGACAGAAUGCACCAGACAAGACUCCUACUUGGGCUCAGAAGCACUAAGUAAAUUGCAACUGCACAGAGAGCAUCUGUAUCUACUUUUCAUGUUUGAUUAUAAUAGUGGUUCAUCUAAAUUUUGUUACCCUCUGUGAAGGAGCAGAGGGACUGCGGCCAGGUACAGCAGGGGUUAAAGAAAAUCUGUGGGUUCAGCUAGCCCUGCCCCACUAUACCUGCAGCCAGUGCCAGGCCUGGAGAGGGGAGAAGAGAAGGGAGCCUGGCUCAGUCAAGGGCUGACUGACCAAGAGGCAGAAGCUCUCUGUAUGCCUGGCUGAAGGCAUGGACCGGUAACCUGCCUGCCAACGUAGCCACUGGAGGCAAAAAGUAAGUCUUCCCCUGCCAAGGGGAGCCUGCAGAUAAGCCCCAAUUGUGGGGAAACGGGACUAGUGGGGCCAUGCCCCAAACUAAAAGGACUUGCAUAGGGGAGCAACCCAGGAAAACAGGUCCUGACCCCCCGCCCACGGCUGGGAGAAAGAUCCAUCUCCCCUAUUUAGGGGUUUGAGCAACACAGGACCCUGGACCUGAGGGAGAAGGAGGGGUCAGGUCCCCCUAUAGCCCCCUAAUCAACGAUCUAGCCAGUAGGCUGCCUGGCCACAGAAGGCCCUAUCACGCUCUCUUAUUAGGAAGCUUUAGAUUCACAUGAAAGAAUGCCACACCCCUGAAUACAGGAGUUAGCCAUUCAGCAAUGCUCAGGGGCAACACUUUGGGGACAAGCCCAGCCACUGUGCCAUCCACAGAAGUUAGGAUUAAGGAUGCUGAGUGUUCUACCAGUGUUGACCCUUGCUUCUGUGGAGGGUCCUCCAUUUGUUGGAUCAAUGCUAAUAAGUGUCUAAAGCUUAGAUUUUAAGAUGAUACCACACCUAGUCCCCCAACUGGAAGAGAGAAACAGCUCUGUCCUCUUUCAUCUGCAUAGCCUCCUGGCUGCUGUAAAGUUGAAGAGAAUAGGUCUCUGCUACUCUAUUCCCUCCCCCAGUUUGUUCGGGAGGAAUGGACAGUUUCACAACUGCAGAGGAUUUUGAACAGCAGCAAAACAGACUAUAGUCUUACUAAUUUAAUUCUACCACUGCUUCCGGGCAAAACCAAGAGCAGCAGCUUUGGCACUGGAGUUGUUUAGGGACUCAAAUAAAAACCAGGGCAUCAGGUCACAUUGAAAGUUUUGCAGCCAUAAGGGCUAGAAGCUUAUUUUGAAUGGAAAGUUUGUUCUGCAAAAAGCAAUAGCUUUGUUGUGUGCCCCACCACCAUCCACACUUGGUAGGGGGAUCGUCCCAUUCAUUGCUGGCAAACACAUUUUUUCAAGUUGUGGUCCUUAGUCUGAUGAAGAGAAACCUUUUGCACUUCCAUGUGGCCUUCCUGCACAACUUUGGAGUUCUGUUACCAUCUUGUUAUGUUAGCAUCUCUAUAAAAAAAGACUCUCAGUAACACUAGUCACUCAGUCCAACCACGCCCUUGUACAAUGAAUGUUUAAUUGCAAUACCACAGAAACAGACAAGUGUACGAAACAACAGCGCUGCAAUGUCUCUUUAGUUACGCAUACAUACAGGUCGGCAAUGUAAACCCUGGGAGAAUGCCACAUCACUGGCCCCAUGAGUUUGCUUAGUCAAAGAAGCACUGACAGACAACAAAAGUGUCUCAACUUUACUUACAAUAAAAGGCUGAGGCAUGAUACAACCCUUCCAGUUUAAGUGGCGAUAUUAGAGACUCAUGGAUACAACAGCAAGCCAAGAACAUAGUCACAAUUCCUUACAUUGCAACUUAGGUUGAAUUGCACCUUUCUAGUUGGCUGUUGCAAGGCUGGCAAGGUUCCCAGUGGGCAUCAGCGCUCUAGGAUUACCUCUGGCUUCCCCACCCAUUGGCCUUGGCCUGCUGCCCAGAUGCCAUCUUCCUCCGAUGGGCCUCUGUCCUCCUGCUGGUUGGAGUUCAUAAGCUUUGAGUCAUCCUUGCUGCCCACUGCCUGCUUCUGAGCCAAUGUCAAUAACAACUCAUGACUCAGGGUCGUCUAGCACCUCUCACCUACUGGACUCAACUUCUAGCCCUAAGACGGCAGCUACUUGUGGGGUGGAACAUACCAGCUGUUGAGUAGCACACAGCACUGAGGGCAGAAAGUGGUGGCUUCUGUAGUCAGAAGAAGCUGCAGCAGGUGAUGGAGGCUAGCACUAUAUAGCCCUCCAAGCUGUAACAGAAUCUAGUUAAAUACCCUCCCAUCCCAAACAGCCUCCGCUCCUUCCAUUCCAAGCCCUCCUUAGAACACAUCUUUGCCACCAACUCUUUGGUGACCCCCUUGCCAGAGCCAGCCCCCAAUAUGCAGCAAGCACUAGGCUAGACUAGAGAUCCAGAGGGCUAUGGUUGGCUACUAGACUGGAAGCACUGCAGGAGGAAGUGCCUUCCUUUGUAUUUCAAGGGUAGCAAGCACCCUGUCAGCACUCCCACAAUACUCUGGGCUUCAUGGGUGGCACGUGAACCCCUGGCUGGGGGAGGCUAGCCCGCAGCCCCACCCAUUCAACCCAAGGCCCCACUUCUUCUGCACCCACCCCACUGCAGCCACCAACCCCAACCCCAGAGCACCAGGAGGGCAGCUGGUGGAGCCUCAGCUGUGGCCAGCACUGCCUGGGGGCUGGAGCCAUGCAUGUAGAGGGGCGGGAAGCUGGGGCAGGGGGGUCUGGGAGCAGAGUGUGGGCGGGGCCACGUCUGGCUGUUUGGGAAGGCACAGCCUCCCCCAGCCUAUGGUACCUGCCACCCAUGCUGGGCUUCCAGUGACCUCCAAAGACCUAAUGACCGCCGGUCCCCAUGGGAUACGGCAAGGGCCUUUUGAGGUGUUUGGGUCUUAGUGAUACCCUUCAGAAGCCUGCUGUGCCCCACUGCAGCCUUCUCUGAGGUUGUUCUUGGAGGAAGAGAUUGUGAAUGGUCGAUAGGGGCUGGCCUAGAAUGCGAGACCUGGAUUCAAUUCCCGGCUCAGCUAUCUAGUCCCAGUGUGACCUUGGGCAAGCGAGUCAGGGGGACCUGAGGCCCAGGCUAUGUACCAUGGGUAUUAUUGCACUGCCCUACCUCUCGGGGAGGGGGCAUGCGGCGUACAAAUAGCACCCAGGACAGCAUGAAGCAUCAUAACACAGCUCGGGCAGCUUCAGCCCCCUCAGCCUGCAGAAGUUAACGCCUGCUGAGGAAGACACUUAUUUGCACAGUCACUCCUGAGCCUGGCCUGGAGCUCAACUGCCCGAAUGGGUCUGGAAACAACCCCAGCCCUAGGAAGUGGCGCUGCUGAGCGGGCGGGGUCUUUAACAGGAACUGGUUAGGAGAGGUGUUGCCCUGGCUCAACCCUCUUCCCUGAGCGGCUGCACUGGAAAACUGGAGGCAGUGGAAGAAUGACCUUUUUGGUUACAACACAACGGGCCGACGCCCCAGUGCCUAAUAUAGGAGAGGCAGGGUUUGCAAACAGGCCCUAUGGACAGCCACAGGAGCUUCUCUCUCCCCUAUGCUAUAGGGGGCCCAAUCCAGCCGAGAGCUUCAUGGCUUUCGAUACUCAGGGACAGGGCGAGCAGUCAGUACCAGGCUCCCUGUGCCCUCGCAUUCCCAAAGUGAACCAUCUGGAGUCAGGUGGCCUGGUAGCAGAGCCCAAGUGAUGAUGCUCUGCCACGCUGCCAGUUCUGGGCUUCUAACUGGGCAGUGGUCCCCUAAUUCUUGUGCUGGGAGACAGAUUUAGCCAACAGAUGAGCCCGGAUUAAACUACAAGAGGAUGUUAUGGAGACUAACACGGCUGCUACUCUGAAACCUUUCUACAACAGAGGACUGAAUGACCCAUCCAAGCUGUGAAUGUUUUCCAGAGGGACUUUCAAGCCUGCAAACUCACCAAUACUGAUAGGAACCUGAGAGACUUUGAAGGCUUUCCCGCCCUGAUCUUGGCAUUUCCAGUGAGGGCUACCCCAGGCUUGGCUGUAGACAAUGGGUCGUGUAAUGUGUCCUGGAUGGAAGCUGGAGGCAUGUAGAGUAAGCUCCUUAAGAACCUGGCUGAAGAGAUCUCGUCAUUAGUGAUAACCUUUGAUGAUGCCUUCAAUACAUCCACGAAUACUUAAGGAACUGGCUGAAGGGAACCCUGAGCCACUGGAGAGUAUCUUUGAGAACUCAUGAAUGAUGGGAGAUAUCCCAGAGAACUGGGAAAAGGUGAAUAUAAUACCUACCUAUAAAAAGGAAACAAGGACAGUCCAGAGAAUUAUAGGCCAGUCAGAUUAAUUUUGGUAACCGGAAAGAUAAUGGACCAAAUAAUUAAACAAUUUCUAAGCAUCUUGAAGAAAA